rnacentral:rRNA from 1 species
CUCCGUCCAGGAUCCUGAGUACGGCGGAACACGUGAAAUUCCGUCGGAAUCCGGGAGGACCAUCUCCCAAGGCUAAAUACUCCCUAGUGACCGAUAGUGAACCAGUACCGUGAGGGAAAGGUGAAAAGCACCCCGGAAGGGGAGUGAAACAGUUCCUGAAACCGUGUGCCUACAAUUAGUCAAAGCCCGUUAACGGGUAAUGGCGUGCCUUUUGUAGAAUGAACCGGCGAGUUACGUUUGCCUGCGAGGUUAAGAUGAAAAGUCGGAGCCGGAGCGAAAGCGAGUCUGAACAGGGCGCUUCAGUAGGUAGAUGUAGACCCGAAACCAAGUGACCUACCCAUGACCAGGUUGAAGGUGUGGUGAAACACACUGGAGGACCGAACCCAUGUAUGUUGAAAAAUGCUGGGAUGAGUUGUGGGUAGCGGU